rnacentral:misc_RNA from 1 species
GAUGAAGAACACAGCGAAAUGCGAUACUUGGUGUGAAUUGCAGAAUCCCGUGAACCAUCGAGUCUUUGAACGCAAGUUGCGCCUCAAGCCAUUAGGUUGAGGGCACGUCUGCCUGGGCGUCACAUAUCGUUGCCUGAUGCCAGUUUCCUCGUGAUGGGUGACUGUGCAGGGCGAAUGAUGGCUUCCCGUGAGCAUUGUUGCCUCAUGGUUGGUUGAAAAUUGAGUCCUUGGUAGGGAGCGCCGUGAUAGAUGGUGGUUGAGUGACGAACGAGACCCAAUCAUGUGAGACCCCUACCGAAUUUGGCCUUCAUGACCCACAUGCGUCUUUGGAACGCUCAUGACGAGACCUCAGGUCAGGCGGGGCUACCCGCUGAGUUUAAGCAUAUCAAUAAGCGGAGGA